GCUAGGCACAGUGGCACAUGUCUAUAAUUCUAGCAACUCAGGAGGCUGAGGCAGGAGGAUCACAGGUUUGAGGCCAGCCUCAGAAAUUUAGGGAGACCCUGCCUCAU
rnacentral:sRNA from 1 species